UCUGGUGCCAGCAGCCGCGGUAAUUCCAGCUCCAAUAGCGUAUAUUAAAGUUGCUGCAGUUAAAAAGCUCGUAGUUGAAUUUCUGGUACGAUGCGCCUGAUCCACGUUCGCAAGAACGCGAGUAUCGGAGUGUAUCUGCCAUCCUUCUAGUUAGCUGGCUGUACUUAACUGUGCGGUCAGUGAUCUAGAUCAUUUACUUUGAAAAAAUUAGAGUGUUUAAAGCAGGCUUGCGCUAUGAAUACAUUAGCAUGGAAUAAUAAUUUAGGACUUUGCUUCUAUUUUAUUGGUUUCUAGGGGUGAAGUAAUGAUUGAUAGGGAUAGUUGGGGGUGCUAGUAUUCAUCGGCCAGAGGUGAAAUUCUUGGAUUCGAUGAAGACUAACUUAUGCGAAAGCAUUCACCAAGGAUGUCUUCUUUAAUCAAGAACGAAAGUUGGGGGAUCGAAGACGAUCAGAUACCGUCGUAGUCUCAACCAUAAACUAUACCGACUAGGGAUUAGUGGAAGUUGCUUUAUCGACUCCAUUAGCACCUUAUGAGAAAUCAGAAGUCUUUGGGUUCUGGGGGGAGUAUGGUCGCAAGGCUGAAACUUAAAGGAAUUGACGGAAGGGCACCACCAGGAGUGGAGCCUGCGGCUUAAUUUGACCCAACACGGGGAAACUUACCAGGUCCGGACAUAGUGAGGAUUGACAGGUUGAAGUUCUCUCUUGAUUCUAUGGGUGGUGGUGCAUGGCCGUUCUUAGUUGGUGGAGCGAUCUGUCUGGUUAAUUCCGUUAACGAACGAGACCUCGGCCUACUAAAUAGUUUGGCGUGGGCUUCGGCCCAUGUACAUGACUUCUUAGAGGGACUGUCGGUAUUUAGCCGAAGGAAGUUCGAGGCAAUAACAGGUCUGUGAUGCCCUUAGAUGUUCUGGGCCGCACGCGCGCUACACUGAUACGUGCAUCGAGCUUACAACCUUGGCUGGGAGGCCUGGGUAAUCUUUGAAAAGCGUAUCGUGCUGGGGAUAGAUUAUUGUAAUUAUUAAUCUUCAACGAGGAAUUCCUAGUAAGCGCGAGUCAUCAACUCGCACUGAUUACGUCCCUGCCCUUUGUACACACCGCCCGUCGCUGCUACCGAUUGAAUGCAUUAGUGAGUAUGAGAGAUCGUUUAACUUGAGGGUAAAACUUCGAGUUAGGUGAGAACUCACGCAAACUUGCGCAUUUAGAGGAAGCAAAAGUCGUAACAAGGUUUCCGUAGGUGAACCUGCGGAAG
rnacentral:rRNA from 1 species